rnacentral:lncRNA from 1 species
CUAGGCCACACUUCCUGGGUGUGGCCACAGGUGCUCCAGGAGUCACUCAAGUCUGGGGUCAGAAGGCACCCCUUCUCCUGUUUUACAGGCCAGGACAUUAUUGUUACACCUGUGAGAAGCCGAUCUGCUGGGCUCGGCACAUAACAUGGAGGAGGCAUGAUGACAUCUCCUUUUUCUUUCCGUGAGGGUUUAAUUCACACACCUCCAAGGACUGAACCUAAGAGGGUAGAGGAAGUUUUUGCUCUCCAACAACACAUCCAAGAGUCUACCACCCAUAUCAAGAAGUAGAAUAUCAUCAUAUCCUAGAAGCCCUGCCCUGUGUGCCCCUUCUGUAACACAUCCUGAUCCCAAGAACAUGGUGUUCCCAAGCACCUGCUCUUCUUACUUCAGGCCAUCACCCAAGAUGCUCCCCACAGCAGUUUAAGAGAUGAGCUCGGGGCCGGCCCAGUGGCGCAGCGGAUGAGGAAACUGAGGCAGAGCCGUUAAGAAGUAACUUGCUCCAAGUCCCACAGCCAGUGAGAGGGGCGCCAGGAUUCAAACCAGGCAGAGUCUAGAAUCCUGC